UAAAGGCCGCUAAAGUAUUCAAAAUAAUUGU
rnacentral:piRNA from 1 species